UUUUAAUCAUUCAGAAAGAAGAAAUAAAGUGAAAUGUGCAAGAUAUUCUACACAGCACAUACACCUUUAUAGUUCUGUUAAUUGUACUGCUAUUAAUACAUCAUAUUUAUUAUAUUUCUCAGAUUACUACUUCUGUCUUAAUAAAGAUGUCAUAUUAUUGGAUCCCUGAUAACUGGAUUCCUGCAUUAUCAACUCUAACAGGAGCUCUUUUUGUGCUGUGCCUCUAUGCCGUUGCAUGGUGCCUCUUCAAAGAUGACAGGAAUACAGUAACUAUUUGACAAUAAGACAGGAGAAGUCAAGAUGUUGAACAAUUAAGAGAAGAAUAUGAUGCCAAUGGAAGACAUUUGACUUUAACCAGCAUAAAGGUCACCAUAUCUUCAUGUCACUUGCUUUAUUUGAAAAGGCCUUUUAAAAUCACAGCUUUUAACAAUAAAACUAUAUCAGUUUUUUUUUUUUACA
rnacentral:lncRNA from 13 species